UCUUCUAUCAAGCACACUUCUUUCUACCCCCUGAAUUUCCUUCCCCCUUUUCAACUCUUCUUCAUCACCUCAGGAGGUUCGAUUCCAAACUCUCAGGCCCUCCAGCUAGCCACCUCCUGGCUUCCUUCGUUCCAAGCUCCCAGAACUAGCUCCUCUCAAGAAACUUCUAAAACUACUGGAGAGAGCCCCAAAUCUCCUGAAGAAUCCUAUAGUUUACACACCCAGCUUUGAUGUGGGAAAAUCCUUAGCCAGUGUUCAUCAGAGUUCUUUCUAUCCAUGUGGCAGUAUUGGACACUGAAUGGAGGGGAAAAAAUACAGCCCUGCUAUAUAGAAUUCCUGUCCUUUCAGAGCUUACCAAGGUUCCUCACCAAGUUCCCACCUUACCUCAGUCUGUAUGUUACCAGCAACCUAUUGCAUUUAUAUUAUUUUGGCUUCGGAUCUAGACCUCCAGUUUCUCAUAUAUGGCUCCCAGAUUAGGAAAAGCCCUCUACCUACACAGAUCUGUAACUAUUCUACAACUUUAGUUCUUUUAGAGUUUGGUGGGAACCCUAAGAGGUCAGUGACUGAUCUAAGGUCACCCAGACAGUGUCAGAAGUCUUACUUGAAUCUGCCUCCACUAUAGUCUUUCAUUUAGCUUAAGAGUGGCCUAAACCUACAAAGUCUCCAUCAUUCUAUCGUAUCAAGUCUUAACUAUACUGCUUGACUUUCAAAGCCUGCCAUCAUCCAGCUCUAUCAUUCCUACCUAAAGUUUUUGUUGUUGUUCAGUCGUUUCGAUUGCAUCUGACUCUGUGACCUCAUUUCAGGGUUUUCUUGGCAGAGACACUGCAGUGGUUUGCCAUUUCCUUCUCCAGUUAUCUAACAGGUGAGGAAACUGGAGUAAACUGGGUCAGGUGACUUCCCCAGGAUCACACAGUUAGUGUCUGAGGCCAUAUUUGAACUGCAGAAGAAAUUGGGAGAAGAAGAGAGUGAGGAAGGGGGAGAAUCCAGAGUGAAGGGAGCCAAUGAACAUCAAAUCCUGGUGAAAGGUACCACCAACCACUUCAGAACAGCUGGGAAGCCUGCAUUAAAAGCAGCUUAGACCACAAGGACUACAAAAGCCUGUCCCUGUCAGUGCUGACCUUUCUGAUCAGAGUAAAUGGUGAGGAAACUGAGGCAAAUAAGGUGGUCACACAGCUAGCAAAUAUCUGAGGCCAGGUUUGAAUCCAGGAAGGUGAGUAUUCCUGAUUCCAGGCUUGAUAUUCUAACCACUAUACCUCCUAACUGCUAUUCUGUGUGCUUACAGACUAUUCAAUCAGCUAAUAAGGAUAGUAUUAUAUCUCUUUAACUGAAAAUAACAUCAGAGGCCAUCUAGUCCAAUCCCUUCAUUUUAUAAUUGAGGAAACAUUGGUGCAAGAAGGAUAAGAGACUUGAACAAAGUCACAGAAGUAUAUUUUUUUUAAACCCUUACUUUCUGUCUUGGAAUUGAUACUAAACAUUGGUUCAAAAAAAGAAGAGCAAUAAGGAUUAAGCAGUAGGGGUUAAGUGACUUAUCCAGGGUCACACAGCUAGGAAGUGGCUGAAGUCACAUUUGAACCCAGGACCUCUCAUCUCUAGGCCUAAUGCUCUAUCCACUGAGCACCUAGCUAUUCCUCCUUUAUAGGUUUCUUCUGAGAGAACCCAUAAGCUUUCUCACCAUUUAGCAGCAAUUACUUUUUUGUCUUCUGCUUUCAUUUUUAGUGAGACUCCUUGAACCAAGAUGUGCCUCAGCUCCCCAAGUAUUGUCUAGACUCCCUUGCUUUUAGGCAAGGGCCUGUAUCAGAAGGAUCAGCAGUUGUAUAAGUAGAUUCAUAUCCAAUUCCUCUGACCCAAGAGUUUAUGCUCCUCCCCUGUACCCUGUAGGAACUUGUUUUGCUUGACUCUAUAUAAUGAAGGUUUUAUUUUCCUUUCUUUUUCAAUGAGGAGAAAUGGGAACCUUAGGAAGUGGACUAGAAAAAAGAUGGAUAUUUGUUGUUGAUAAAAAAAAUACAAUUUCACUUUAAAAGUAUUAUUCCUCAUGUUGCAGAUGAAGAAACCUAAGUCAAAGGAAAGAUUCAAACCCAGAUCUUCCAGACUCCAAACUUAGCACUAAUCCUAUCUUUGAAAAAACAAAUCCAAUUGAUUCUUUUUGCAGUGAAAGCAUUUCCUUCAUCUGGCCCUCUCCUGGAGGAGGUGAUAUGGCAUGAUUCAGGAGUUCUUCAUUCCUUCCAGAUCCAAGAGUUCUCUGUGACCCUGAUCAGAAUGGAAGGGACUCCAUACAUUGGGAAAUGCUUCUCCCGUGACCUUUAGUCACCAUGGACAGCCUCUGACUUUGGGCUGGGCAGGCCGGUGUCUAUGGUGACAAGGGAUCAGUCACUGCAAGGUUGUUGUACAAGUUUUUUUUUUUUUUUUCUGACCCCUCCCUCUAGGCAAAUCAGAUCUAAAGGCUCUUUAUCAAUUUGGCAGUGGUUUGAGCUAUCCACAACACCUUCUGAAGACACUUAGUGCAAGUCUCGUGCUUUUUAAAUAUGGUGGCCACCAUUCAGAGCCAACAGAAUCUGUUACAUAUAAAAUCUAGUGUUUUCUUGGGGCUUAUGUGCUAUUCAGCCCCUUCAGUUGUGUCCGACUCUUUGUGAACCCAUUCGGGGAUUUCUUGGCAAAGUGGUUUGCCAUUUGCUUCUCAUUUUAUCGAUGAGGAAACUGAGGCCAUUGGGGUAAAGUGACUUGCCCAAGGUCCUAUGGCUAGUGAGUAUCUGAGGACAGAUUUGAACUCAGGAAAAUGAGUCUUCCUGAUGCCAGGCCCAGCACUCUCUCCACUGUGCCAUCUUGCUCCCCUUGACUUAUGUACAAGUCACUUUUGGGGGUUACCAUCUUCUUUGAGAUUGCACAGAAUUGAUUCAUCAUCCUUCUAAUACCCUAUGGGUAAUUUUCCAUUUCUGCCACUGCCUCCAUGCUAUUUUGCCUUGAGGGGACACAGACCUAUUUCUUUUGUGUUCCACCACACAACAAUAUAUUUAUUCUGAUGUAAUCACAGAUGACCAACCCAAAGGAUGAUAUCAUUAUCCUAUACCAGGGGUUGCUGCAAGUCAGCCAUGAUCAAGCUGAGUAGUGAGGUCUGACCCUAGCCCAUGGACUUUGCUUCCACUGAAGAGAGUUUUUCCAGGGGAAGUCCCAAGCUUGGUUCUGCAAUUUCUGGCUCAGAGGCCAUGCUCCUGUUCUGUGACUCAUCUCCUUUGCCAGCUCUGGAAGAAGGGCCAGAGUGUGAGAGAUGAGGACCAUGGACCUGACUUCUGCAUAAUCCAUUCUGCUUCUCCCUCACCUGAGAUUAUACUCAUUUGCAUUUGUACAGCGCGUUAAGGGUUGCAAAGUGCUUUUCCUCCCAACAAUGCCAGAUAAGGCAAGGAAGUUUCCCACUUUACAGUUCUGAAAACUAAGGAUCAGAAAGGUGUUGUGGACAUGCACUGAACUUGUGACUUGAUCGCUUAAUAAAUGCUUGUUGAAUGGCCAUUCAUUUCUGUCUGGCAGCGUGUUAGCCCACCAUCAAUGGAUUAUUGGCCUCUUGGACAGAGAACUAUGUUCCAUGUAUAUAAUUUUGGGGAACAACAUACUUCAGGGUCAACAGCUCCUACCUGGGGAGUGACUAAAAGGAUCUCUUUGUCAGUAAGAGCCCAGUGGACUUCUGAUUGCUAUCCCUUUCCCAAUACAAAGCUGCCCAGGAUGGCUUCUGCAUGGAACCCCGAGGCCUUGCUUAGAUAAUAAUUGACUUUUCCAUAGUGAUUUAAGGUUUGUUUAUAAAGGGACCUAACAAAUACAGUGUCUUAUGGACAACUAGGUCAGAAAGACCCAUCUUUCUGAGUUCAAAUCUGGCCUCAGACACUUUCUAGCGAUGUGACCCUGGACAUGUCACUUAGCCUUGUUGACCUGAGUAUUAUCAUCUGCAAAAUAAGCUUGAGAAGAAAAUGGCAAACUACUUCAGUAUAUUUGCUAAGAGAACCUCAAAUAGGGCCAUGAAGAGUCAGUCAGGACUGAAAGGACUGAACAAAAACAAAGAUCUUAAUGCAGAAAGUUUUAAUAGCUAAAUUAAGUUUUAACAGCUAAAAAUUGCACUUAAACUUUUGGACAACCUGUCUAAUCUCAUUUGAGUCUCAUGACAACUCGAGUCAAUAGGUUUGGUAGAUAUCUGUAUUCUCAUUUUAUAAAGAAAGAAACUGAGGUUCUUUUGCUCUUGGUCAAGCAACUGGGAAGAAUCAGGGGCAAGAUUUGAACUCCUAUAUUCCUGAAUGCACAAAUGAUGGCCUGGCAGAUACUCUCCAGAGUUCAAUUUAGUUUGAAAUCCUAUUAUCCUAAUAGCUUUCUUUUUUUUUAAAUAACUGUUACCUUUUUUCUAAGAAUUGAUACUAAGUAUUGCCUCCAAGACAGAAAAGUGAUAAGAACUAGGCAAUGGGGGUUAAGUGACUGGCCCAGGGUCACACAGCUAGGAAGUGGCUGAAGUCACAUGUGAACCCAGGACCUCUCAUCUCCAGGCCUGAUGCUCUAUCCACUGAGCACCUAGCUACCCCUCCUAAUAGCUUCUUUGUGUGCUGCUUCUAAGAAAACCCAUAAACUUUCCAUUUAGUAGCAAUUACUUUUUUGUCUUCUGCUUUCAUUCUUAGUGAAACUCCUUGAACCAAAAUGUACCUCAGGUCCCCAAGUAUUGUCUAGACUCCCUUGCUUUUAGACAAGGAGCCUGUGUUAGGAGUACCAAUAAUCAAAUGGAUGUUUACAGGAAACUGAAUAUUGUGUAAUUAAUGACCAAGUUUAGCCCCAGAGAAAAGACGAGAAAAUGCAUUGACCUCUUGGCUCUAGCACACCCUUUGUACCUUCCAUAUCUCCCAGAUAGAGGGCAACCCCCAAAACAAAUGUCUUGACUGAUUAUGAAAGUCCAACAGGAAUAAAACUAGUUCUUUAGGGUUUUGCUAUUUCCUUCUUUUAAAAUGCAAAUAUUAUUGGGGGAGAAAUAUAUUUAGUAUCAAUGAAGUACAUUCAGACAGUUACAGUUUAGUGGAUGGGAACCAAGUCUAGAUACGAGAGGUCCUGGGUUCAAAUUUGGCCUCAGAUGCUUCCUAGCUGUGUGACCCUGGGCAAGUCACUUAAAUGCCCCGUUGCCCAACCCUUACUGCUCUUCUGCCUCAGAACCAAUACUUAGAAUUGAUUCUAAGAUAGAAGGUAAGAAUUUUUAAAAAGACGGAGUAUAGAGCCAAUACUUUAAGCCACCCAGCCUUAGGGGGACUGGAAGGGUUAGCUCAUCAUCCAGAAAUGGAUGACAAGUAGAAUCCGAAAACAACAUUUUCCUACUUCACGAUCUUGACAGGGCACACUCCUAUGCCCAUGAGCUUAAUUUAGCUGACACCCAGGAGGGAUAUCUAGGGCCCCAAAGGUAUUCUCUGGCACAGAGUCCAAUGCCUUGGUAAUUCCUGGCAAAGACAAAGCGAAAUAAUGGCCCAGAACCAAGACCAGUACCUUAGCUGUUAGAACCUCCUUUGUCUUCAUUGUUCUAAAUAUGGUGCCCCAGACAUGUAAAUCCAAGAGGGAAAACCUGUUGAUGCCAAGAAAUUCUAAAUAUUUAGAGGGUGACAAAAAUUGGCCCCUGAAAAAGAGCCGUUGCCAUGGAUUCAAUAAUGUGUGUUCAUUUCCAUUUAGUGUCUUGAACUCAGUUUAAUUUAAUUUAAUACAGUUUGAUUUAUGGAAGGUAUUAUGAGAUAAAUAUUAAUAAACAAAAGGAGUUUGCAAAAACACCCAUUAGGCAGCAUGUGUGUUGACAGUCAAUCAUCAAACAUUCAACUCUUACUAUGUGGGUAUUUGCAAAAUUUAAAAACUCUAUUUCUGCUGUUGAGGUGCCCCCAGCCCAAUGCGGGAGAUGACAUGCAAACUAGGCACAUACAAAACAUACACAUCGUAGUCUUAGAGGGGAGUCACAGUGGGGAGACCUAGGAAUAACCACUUGCAGAAUGUGGGGUUUGAGUCUGCUAAGUAUAAGGGAUUGAAAAUAGUAGUAGUCUCUCGGUAACCGAGGAUGAUGAUUGUCUUUGUGCGUUUUUGUGCACAAAGACACCUGUGCAUGAAGAUUUAAGUGGAAAAGCCGAUGCACAGAGACAGUCCCACUCUCUCGGCGUCGGAAGCCUGGGUCCAGUGGCACGAAAAGUCGUUACACCUGGAGACUUCCUCAGCUGCAUUGGAUGGCCGUGUUGUCUUUUGUGCUCCAACACGCCCUAAGCACUCCACAGUGCUUUGCUGCGUCGCCCUCUCAGCCGUUGAACCUUCUUAUUGGUUUCUGAACCUUCUUAUUGGUUUCUUCCAUCUGUUCCGCCGAAGCAGUCUUCACAUGCUGGGUGAGCAAAGCCCUGGUUCACCAGGGGUCGACGACCCGAUGGCUACCCUCACAAGGUUUAGCCGGUCUGUCGAAGCCUUUGCCUGGGGUGUGGCCGCUGCCGCAUACUAGCAGCUAUUAGGAGCCACCAGUGAGAGCUGGGUGUCAAGUGGGGGUCAGAGGCUGGAGAGCUGCCCUAGGAGGGUGAGACAAGCCCUCCAUACCAGAGAUACUACUCCUCCUUGAGUACCCCAUACACCCCAAGGGAUUGAAAAUAGCCAAUUUUUAAACAAUAAUGAUGGGCAUUGAUAUAGCACUUGGAGGUUUUUGAAGCACUGUGUAUAUAUGAUCUCAUUUGCUUCUCACAAUGGCACUAGGAAGUAAGUCCUCGUAUUACUCACAUUUUCUAGAUGAUGAAACUGAGGCUGGGAGAGAGUAAGCAACUUGUCCAGAGUAAAAUAGCUAGUAUCUGAGGUAGGAUUUGAACUCAGGUCUUCCUGACUCCAAGUCCAGCAAUAUACACCACAUGGAUACCUAAAUGACUCCUUCAGGUGUAUAAGGCAUUUUAUUACAGUAUCCCAUUAAAUCCUCAAAACAACCAUAUGAAAUAGGGACUACAGACGUUAUCCUCACUUUUUACAGAAAAAUGUACUGAGGCCUGGACAAGCUGGUUUGAUUUGGAGGCAGGAUUUGAGUCCAGAUCUCUCCUGCCUCUGGUCCUAUCAUCCUUCCUUGUGCCGUGAUUGCAAAAGGGUUAUGAAGAAGGUGCGUAGAGCAGACCUGUCUGUUCUCAGUCCGCGCUGAAGGACUCAGUGCAUUAGUAAUGAUGAAGCAAUCCCCUUCACUGGCCAAGGCACAGGAAGUGCUACUGACUUAAUGGUUCUUUAAAAGAGUCUUUGAAACAGGCAGGUAGGUGGUUCAGUAGAUAGAGUGCUAGCCUAGAGCCAGGAAGACUCAUCUUCCUCAGUUCAAAUCUGUACUCAGACAUUUACUAGAUGUGUGACCCUGGGCAAGUCAUUUAAUCCUGUUUGCCUCAGUUUCUUCCUCUGGAAAGUGAGUCAGAGAAGGAAUGGCAGGGGCAGUGAGGCUCAGCAGAUAGAGAGCCAGAUGGGAGAUCCUGGGUUCAAAUCUGACAUCAGAUAUUCCUUAGCUGAGCCUAGCCCUUUCCUCUCUCUUCUGCCUUGGAACCAAUACACUGUAUUGAUUCUAAGACAGAAAGUAAGGGUUUGGGAAGGUGGGGGAGCAGCAGUGGAGGAAACAGCAAACCACUUCAAUAUCUCUGCCAAGAAAACCCCAAACGAGGUCACAAAAGAGUAGGAUGUGACUGAAAAUGACUCCCAUUCCUUCUCCUCUUCUCAGAUGUAGAUCAUAUCAGCACCAUGUCAGCCACUCACAGUUCUAAGGGCAAGACUCAAGUUUGUUCUUCCACUUCUGUGGCUCUGUGCCCCAUUGCUCAUUGGUUCUGGCCUCUCUUCUGGCUCUUGGCUCUGAGGUUUCCUGUCCUGCUGGUUUCUCUUUCUCUUCCAGUCAUCUGCCGUCACUCAGACAUCAAUGAUUCCCAGUCCACAAGCCAUGAUUCUUCCCCUUCGACCCAUUUGUUGCUUGGUAUCACCCAGCCUCUUACUAAUGGGGUCACUUGGACCCCAUUAGUAAGCUAACUAAGCUCUCUGCUUCACACCAGAGCCACCACUCCAUCGCUGACAUUCCCCAAGGAAGUGACGGAGCUCCUUUCAAAUGAGACAUACUUCUGGGCCACUUACUGUAUACUCAAGCGCCGAGUGUGUCCUAUAGUCUUCCCACCCCACUCUUAAUAUCCAUCUGAGCCUUAGUUUUCUCAUGUGUAGAAUUAGGCAGGGCAGCUGCAUGGCUCAGUGGACGGAAUGCUGGCCUUGGAUUCAGGAAAACUCCUUCCUGAGUUCAAACCUGGACUCAGACACUUACUUUCUGUGUGUCCCUGGACAAGUCACUUAACCCUGUUUGCCUCAGUUUCCUCAUCUAUAAAAUGACGUAGAGAAGGAAAUGGCAAACCACCCCAAUAUCUUGGCCAAGAAAACCCUAAAUGAGCUAACAAAGAGUUAGACAUGACCAAACAAUUACAACAAAGCAACAGUAUGCAGCAUGUACUGGCCAGAGAAGAAUUAUUUUAUAUUAUAUUUAUUAAAUUAUAUCAUACUAUAUCAUAUCAUAUUAUGUUAUGAUAUGCUAUGUAUUUAUUUUAUGAUAUUAUGUUAUGUUAUAUUUUGUUAUGUUAUAUGUAUCAUGUUAUGUUAUAUUAUGUUAUGCUGUUAUGUUAUGU